rnacentral:rRNA from 1 species
GGUGAACGCUGGCGGCGUGCCUAAGACAUGCAAGUCGAGCGGGGCAGGUUUAUACCUGUUCAGCGGCGGACGGGUGAGUAACGCGUGGGUGACCUACCCGGAAGAGGCGGACAACCUGGGGAAACCCAGGCUAAUCCGCCAUGUGGUCCUGUCCUGUGGGGCAGGACUAAAGGGUGGAUAGCCCGCUUCCGGAUGGGCCCGCGUCCCAUCAGCUAGUUGGUGGGGUAAAGGCCCACCAAGGCGACGACGGGUAGCCGGUCUGAGAGGAUGGCCGGCCACAGGGGCACUGAGACACGGGCCCCACGCCUACGGGAGGCAGCAGUGAGGCAGCGUCCGCAAUGGGCGCAAGCCUGACGGAGCGACGCCGCUUGGAGGAGGAAGCCCUGCGGGGUGUAAACUCCUGAACUGGGGACGAAAGCCCCGUGUAGGGGGAUGACGGUACCCAGGUAAUAGCGCCGGCCAACUCCGUG